UAUAUAUAUAUAUAUAUAUAUGAUCUCAUUACAUUGGAGGAAAACUAUGCUACCUUGUAUUAGAUACUGGGAUUAUAUGUCUCACUCUGGCUCUAAUUUUUCUGGUACUCCAGACAGCGACUAUGGUGAGCCUACAAACUUUGAGCUCUCAGAAUUCUUGAAGUUUGAUGAGUGGAUAGAAGAAGAUGAUCAACCUUCUCUGCUUUCUGCUUCUACCCAAAAUCCUGUUUAUCGAGCUCAUGUAAUCGGUGAUUCAGGUUUAGCUACCAGCACCCAUGGAGGGCCUAGUAUCGAGGGCAGGGAACAGAAGGAAGGUAAAGAGAGGGUGGCAUUCAAGACAAAAACAGAAGUUGAGAUACUAGAUGAUGGGUUUAAGUGGAGGAAGUAUGGGAAGAAGAUGGUCAAGAAUAGCCCAAACCCAAGAAAUUAUUAUCGGUGCUCGGUUGAAGGCUGCCAUGUCAAGAAGAGAAUAGAAAGAGAUCGAGAGGAUCAAAGCUAUGUAAUAACAACCUAUGAGGGUGUCCACAAUCACCCAAGUUCUUCUUAGGCUUCAAGCUUUACUGUUGCUUUCAGUUCAUUGAGUUUCUGGCUAGCAUUGCACAACCCCACUUUCACUUUCUUAAUGAUAUGAUACAAUUAUGUUGGGUUGUCUCCAAUCUGAGUCUAAUGAACUGAAAAAAAAAUUAUAAUAUUAUUAAUAUUUCAUUAUAGUUUUUGUAAAACGACUUGAAAUCUCACGUUUCUGAACAUAAUUUCAGUAACAUUAUGCUAAAGUUUAUGUAUCAAUUAAUCAAGAAAACUCCAAUGGCAUGCAAAAUGCAAUUAGUCUUUAAAGAUUAAUUUGGUUUAUGAUAAUUCCACUGCUAUACUUCAUUAAAGCCCUAUUGGCUCAAGGACAACCAUAAUGUAAUUUAAUUUGUUCCAAUAAUUUGUAUUGAUUUUUGAUUGG
rnacentral:misc_RNA from 1 species